rnacentral:rRNA from 1 species
UGGAGCAAAACUCAAAAACUUAGUCUCAGUUCGGAUUGUAGGCUGAAACUCGCCUACAUGAAGCUGGAGUUGCUAGUAAUCGCGAAUCAGCAUGUCGCGGUGAAUACGUUCCCGGGCCUUGUACACACCGCCCGUCACACCAUGAGAGUUGGCAAUACCCAACGUACGUGAUCUAACCCGCAAGGGAGGAAGCGUCCUAAGGUAGGGUCAGCGAUUGGGGCGAAGUCGUAACAAGGUAAC